rnacentral:lncRNA from 1 species
UGUGUGAAACGCGGCGCCCGCGUUUGGCGGACGUGAAGCAGCAUGUGUGCUGUCGCGCGCAUGGGUACGAGAUGACUGGACCCAUUGGAGCACGGGUACGGCGGAGUCCUGGGGACAGAACAGAGGGUGCGAAAGCACAUGCCCCCAGACAUCAACGGCGGCGUGUACACCUGCACCCCUCAUGCCCCGCCUAAUCAUGGCCCUCUGUGUCAACCCCGUGUACUCCUUGCCAGGCCGUGAUUGGCAACUAUGCGGUGCCCAUCCUGGAGGAGCGGUCCGUGUGGGGCACCAACGACGAGACGCGCACAGCCUACCUGGAUAGCCAGGACGUGGCCAAGAUGACCAUGGCGGCGCUACGGUGAGGCCGUGGGUUGUAGGGCGGGGCGUUAGCUGCGUGUGUGUGGUUGGGUGUGGGGGGAGGGGGGGGGAUGUUCAUUGCAUUCAAAAAAUAAACCAUUUACAAUCCCGAACCCAUAGCGCGCGGGGGUCCAGCCGAACCCGCCACAAGCGUACCGAUAGGACGGGUUGUCGCGGCGGUGGGCGGGCAAGUGGUUGCGGCGUCCCAUACGUGUGAAGCGUUACUGGUGGAAGAGGGGCUGGUUCGGCUCGGUUUGACUUGAAUUAAUUUCCGCUGCCAUGAAUGGAGGACCAGAUUGCUCAGCAUACUGCAUACUAAAGAUCCGGUCGUAUUC